CCCCCAUAUCUCCCCCAUAUACCCCCAUAUGCAGUUGCCCAUAUCGCUGUACCCAAAUCCCCCAUAUCCCCACUGACAGCCCCAUAUCCCGCCCCCCAGGUGAAUCCCAGCCCCUAUCAAUGCCGGCGGUGUCCCCAUUGGAGGUGCUGGUGGUGGAAGACAAGAACUUCACCCUGUCCUGCCGCCCCCCGCCGGGUUGGUUGCGGAUGUGGUGGCAGCGCGGGGCGGCCAUCUUGGAACCCAACGACCGGAUGCUGAUGGCGCGGGACAACAGGACGUUGACGGUAACGCAAACGUGGCGCAGCGACGCCGGGCAAUAUGGCUGCCACGUCCAGAACCCCAUCAGCCACAACUACAGCAGGGAGGUCAACCUCAGCGUGGCCUGUGAGUGGGGUUGUGUUGUUGUGUUGUUGUGUUGUGUUGUUAUGGGGUUGUGUUGUAUUGUGGUGUUGUGUUAUGGGGUUGUGUUGUUGUGGGGUUGUGUUGUUGUGUUGUGUUGUUGUGUUGAGUUGUUGAGUUGCUUUAGGGUUGUGUUGUGUUGUUGUGGGGUUGUGUGGUUGUGUUGUGUUGUUGUGGGGUUGUGUUGUUAUGGGGUUGUGUUGUUGUGUUAUUGUGUGGUUGUGUUGUUGUGGGGUUGUGUUGUUGAGUUGUUAGGCUGCUAUGGGUUUGUGUUGUUAUGGGGUUGUGUUGUGUUGUGUUGUUGUGUUGUUGUGUUGUUGUGUUGUUGUGUUGUUGUGUUGUAGUGUUGUGUUGUGUUGUUGUGUUGUUGUGUUGUGUUGUUGUGGGGUUGUUGUAUUGUGUUGUUGUAUUGUGGGGUUGUGUUGUGUUGUGUUAUUUAGUUGUGUAGUUAUGGGGAUGUGUCACCAUUCACUCCAUUGCCCCACUGACCCCAUAUAACCCCAUAUAACCCAUAUAACCCCUAUAUUUUCCCCUACAGACGGUCCGGACUGGGCGACCCCAUAUAACCCCAUAUAACCCCAUAA
rnacentral:lncRNA from 1 species